rnacentral:rRNA from 1 species
ACCCAAUAGAUACCCAGGUAGUCCACGCCCUAAACUAUGUCGACUGGUUGUUGGGGGUUUGACACUUUCAGUAAACGAAAGCUAAACGCGUGAAAGUCGACCGCCUGGGGAGUACGGCCGCAAGGUUAAAACUCAAAGGAAUUGACGGGGACCCGCACAAGCGGUGGAUUAUGUGGAUUAAUUCGAUGCAACGCGAAAAACCUUACCUACCCUUGACAUGUCCUGAAGCCUGGAGAGAUCCGGGUGUGCCCGAAAGGGAACGGGAACACAGGUGCUGCAUGGCUGUCGUCAGCUCGUGUCGUGAGAUGUUGGGUUAAGUCCCGCAACGAGCGCAACCCUUGUCAUUAGUUGCUACAUUCAGUUGGGCACUCUAAUGAGACUGCCGGUGACAAACCGGAGGAAGGUGGGGAUGACGUCAAGUCCUCAUGGCCCUUAUGGGUAGGGCUUCACACGUAAUACAAUGGCGCGUACAGAGGGUUGCCAAGCCGCGAGGUGGAGCCAAUCCCAGAAAGCGCGUCGUAGUCCGGAUCGCAGUCUGCAACUCGACUGC